GCUGGUUAGAACCGGUUCCCAGGCCGCGGGCAGACGGAGCGAGAAGCAGAGCUGAGCGUAUCUGUCGGUUCUGAUCCCGGUCUGAGAAUCCGCGCCUUCAGCUCACUCCCGCCCGUCCAACAUGCCUCGCAGAGCGGUUGCGCCUGUACGACCUGAAGAACUAAGGAGAUCAUCUCGAACCAAGCGUACUAUCCAAACAGCACCUCCAACCAAGAAGCCGCCAGCUAAGAAAGCCAAGAAACAAAAGGUCACCAAAGGGAAGGCGAGUGAUUCGAGCCAGGAAGCUAAUGCUGCAGCAGCUCAAAAUGGGGAAAAUAAAGAGGCAUGAGAAUUGAAAACUGCAGAUGGGCGAAAGUCUUGUCCAAGUCUGGAGAGUUUGCCAACCUCCUGUCACUUGUACAGUUGAAAGGAAUAUUUUUAUCAAUUUUUAUAAAUGCAACAUUUUUGUAGGUUGAGUGGGCAGAUGUUGCGGAUGCUUGCAGUGUGUUUUUAUUUUCUGGAGACUUUGUAUACUGACACAAUGCACGUUGAAAGUGCUUGAGAUUAAACUUUUUUUGCUUCCCCUCUAUCCCUAAAUGUGACUGUUUCCUACUUGUGCUAUCAGUUAAUGUCAGUAGCUUUAGUGGCAACUUUUGCUCUCCAUGUGAAAUCCGAACUCUUGGCAAUUUCACAGAUGAAAAAUGAAACUUUUUUUAAUGCUGUUUUAAGGUGAAAUAUUCUUUUGGAAUGUGUUUUGACAGAUGUUUCUGACAUCAGUCCUAUUUUGCUGAGUAUCAUGGAGUUGUAAACUUGCUACCUAAAUAAAGUUGAAUACUGUUACGCUUGGGAA